rnacentral:rRNA from 1 species
UUUUUAAGAAAUGAAUUUAAUUCAUACAUUUUAUUUAAUUUCUGUUAUUGUUUUAUUAAUUUUUAUUUUAUGUUAAGAUUAAGGGGGAUUAGCUCCUUGUUUUAUUUUUAUAAUUUAUUUGGGUUAUAUUUACUUUUGUGGAUUUUAUAGUGAUUUUCAAUUUGAUUAUGUUAAAAUUUUAUUUAUUUUUUUGUUUAUUUCCUUUAAUUUAAGUUUUAUAUUGAAAUGUUUAUUUUAUUUUGUUUUGUGUAGUAAUUAUUGUGUAAUUAGUAAAUCUGAUUUUUGUGUUGUUUUGGUUGUUUGGGUGUUAAUUUCUUUUUAGGAAUUCGGCAAAUAUUUAUGUCCGCCUGUUUAACAAAAACAUCUUUUCUUGUCAGUUUUUGAAGUAUGGCCUGCCCACUGACUUAUUUGUUGAAGGGCCGCGGUAUUUUGACCGUGCAAAGGUAGCAUAAUCAUUAGUUCUUUAAUUGUGAUCUGGUAUGAAUGGCUUGACGAGACAUAAGCUGUCUUAAUUGUAUUGUUUUAAUUGAAUUUGGUUUUUGAGUAAAAAUUCUUAAAUGUUUUUGUGGGACGAGAAGACCCUAUAGAGUUUGACAUUUAUCUUUUCUUAUGUUGCGGUUUGUUUUUAAUUUUUAGCUGGAUAAUUGUUUUGUUGGGGUGAUGGGAGGAAUUUUUUUAACUCCUCUUUAGUUUUUUAUACUUAUUUGUAUGUUUUUGAUCC